rnacentral:rRNA from 1 species
GAUGAACGCUGGCGGCGUGCCUAAUACAUGCAAGUCGAGCGAACAGACGAGGAGCUUGCUCCUCUGACGUUAGCGGCGGACGGGUGAGUAACACGUGGAUAACCUACCUAUAAGACUGGGAUAACUUCGGGAAACCGGAGCUAAUACCGGAUAAUAUAUUGAACCGCAUGGUUCAAUAGUGAAAGACGGUUUUGCUGUCACUUAUAGAUGGAUCCGCGCCGCAUUAGCUAGUUGGUAAGGUAACGGCUUACCAAGGCAACGAUGCGGAGCCGACCUGAGAGGGUGAUCGGCCACACUGGAACUGAGACACGGUCCAGACUCCUACGGGAGGCAGCAGUAGGGAAUCUUCCGCAAUGGGCGAAAGCCUGACGGAGCAACGCCGCGUGAGUGAUGAAGGUCUUCGGAUCGUAAAACUCUGUUAUUAGGGAAGAACAAAUGUGUAAGUAACUAUGCACGUCUUGACGGUACCUAAUCAGAAAGCCACGGCUAACUACGUG